rnacentral:misc_RNA from 1 species
AGAAGGGAGGUAACUUCGUACGUGUUAAUUCCAGCUUGAACAUUCACAAACGGCACUAUGCAAGAAAAACGAGAGUUCAAACGUCUUCCAAAGGAUGUCGUUCCUUCCAACUACAACAUUCGGCUGAAACCAGAUCUAGAUGCAUUUGUAUUUCAGGGGCAGGAAGCAAUAGAUGUUGAGGUAAAGAAGCCAACAGACACUGUGACAGUCAACUCACUCAACAUCAAAAUCAGCGAGGUGACAUAUCAUGCACAUGAAGGUGGUGACAGCUCCUUGGUGGCUGAAGUGUCAACUGACAAGGAGGCGGAGACGGCCACUUUCAAGUUCCCCUCGGCCCUACAGCCAGGUAAAGGUGUGCUGAAGGUGAGCUUCACCGGUGAACUCAACGACAAGAUGGCUGGUUUCUAUCGCAGCAGGUACACCAUGCCUGAUGGAGGAAAGAGAGUUGGGGCAGUCACACAUUUUGAGGCAACGGGAGCUCGCCAAGCUUUCCCUGGCUGGGACGAACCUGCGGUCAAGGCCACUUUUGACAUUACACUUGUUGUACCCAAGGAUAAAACAGCGCUCAGCAAUAUGCCUGUCAAGUCUGACACCCCGGAUAAGGAUCCAAACUGGCGCGUGGUGGAGUAUGACAGAACACCCAUCAUGUCCACAUACCUACUGGCAUUCAUUGUGGGGGACUACGACUACGUAGAGGGCAAAGACGUGGACGGUGUCGUCGUGAGAGUCUACACACCUGUGGGCAAGAAGGAGCAGGGCAAGUUUGCCCUUGAUGUUGCUGUGAAAACCCUGCCCUUCUACAAAGAAUACUUUGGCAUCCCGUACCGAUUACCUAAGGUGGAUCUUAUAGCUCUUGCAGACUUUCUCAUAGGUGCAAUGGAAAAUUGGGGUCUCGUAACGUACAGAGAGACGGCACUGCUGGUGGAUCCCACAAACUCCUCUGCAAAUGUCAAGCAAUACGUGGCACUGGUUGUAGGACAUGAGCUGGCUCAUAUGUGGUUCGGGAACCUGGUCACAAUGGAAUGGUGGACCAACUUAUGGCUAAAGGAAGGUUUCACGUCCUGGAUCGAGUAUCUGUGUGUGGACGAGUGUUUCCCUGAGUAUGACAUCUGGACUCAGUUUGUCAACAUCGAUCUGGGCCGAGCCCUGGAGCUGGAUGCCCUUCACACCAGUCACCCUGUUGAGGUCCCGGUCGGCCAUCCAGCGGAGGUGGACGAGAUCUUUGAUGCCAUCUCCUACUGCAAGGGAGCUUCUGUCAUCAGGAUGCUGCACGACUACCUGGGGGACGAGGAUUUCCGUAAAGGAAUGAACAAGUACCUGACGAAGCACUCCUAUCAGAACACGGAGUCCGAGGAUCUGUGGGCUUCCUUGGGAGAAGCCAGCAGGAAGCCAGUGGCCAAGAUGAUGAACACUUGGACCAAACAGAUGGGCUUCCCUGUCAUCAAGGUGAAUGAGAGACAGGAUGGAGACAAGCGGGUUCUCACGGUCACACAGGAGAAGUUCUGUGCUGACGGUAACCUACCUACAGACGACAAGUCCAGCUGGUGGGUUCCCAUUAGCUUCUCCACUGCCAGCAGCCCCUCCACCCCAGUCAAGACCAUCAUGCUGGAGGGGAAGAGUUCAGAGGUCACACUGGACAAUGUCAAGGCUGGAGAAUGGGUCAAGGUCAACACCAACACAGUGGGUGUGUACAGAGUACAGUACCCUACAGAGAUGCUAGCAGCUCUGAUCCCGGCUGUCAAGGACAGAUCCCUUCCUCCCAGAGACAGACUCGGACUGCAGAGUGACCUCUUUGCACUGGCCCGAGCUGGCAUGGCAGCAUCCGAGGACGUACUGAAGGUGGUCGAGGCCUUCAUCAACGAGGACAACUACACAGUGUGGAACGACCUUGCCCUUAACCUUUCCAGCAUGGCCGUCCUACUCCAGUACACAGACUCUUAUGACCUUUACAAGACCUUCGCCCGUGACCUCUUCUCUCAGGUGGUCAAGACCGUGGGCUGGGACAAGAAGGAGGGUGAAAGUCAUCUAACAGCCAUGUUGCGAGAUCUCAUCCUGACCAAGAUGGGUCGCUAUGGUGACGAGCCGACAGUAGCAGAGGCCAGGAAGAGGUUUGAGAGUCACUGCAGUGGAGAUAAAGUCAUCCCUCCUGAUCUCAGGGCUCCGGUGUUCAUCACAGUUUUGUCUGAAGACAGGAGUGAGGACUUCAACAGGUUGAUGGAGCUCUAUGACAAGGCAGACAUGCAAGAGGAGAAGAUACGGAUAGCACGAGCUCUUGGGGCAGUCAAGAAAGAAGAACUUAUCAAUCGUGUCCAUGAAUUUGCUGCCAGUGACAAGGUCCGUGCACAAGACAAAGUGUCUGUGCUUGCUGGGACCACUGGCUCAGCCAAGGGGAGAGAACUCACUUGGAACUUUGUGAAAGAGAAUUGGAAAGACCUACGUGAAAAACAUCAUGGGCAUCUGUUAACAAGGCUUGUCAAGGCAUCAACACACAACUUUGCUACUGAGGAGAUGGCCAAGGAGGUUGAGGAAUUCUUCAAUGCCAACCCAACCCCAGCUGCAGAAAGGACAGUGCAGCAGUCGGUGGAGAAUAUCCGACUCAACACGCGGUGGAUGAAAGAAUCGGCAGACAAAGUUUGCCAGUUUCUAAAAAAUAGAAAUUAAGAUCUCGAGAAAUUGAUAGUUUUGCAAUUUGAGAGUUUCCUUGGACAAAACAAGGGUGUCAGGAAUUUAAAAACAUAUUUUGUGGAUAUUAUAUUUUUCUUGGCACUUUUUUGUGAAGCGAUUAUUUUCCUAAUACAUGUGUAUCUUUGUAUUUUUAUACUUACUUUGAGCGAUUAUGGUAUCUUCAAAUUUUCAAGUAUUUUGUAAUGUAUAAGUUGUAUCCAAACAUUAAUUUCACCUUGGAGAUAUGAUUUAAUUAUUUUGGUGACAAACAAUCCAGGAGGAUAUUGUCAUAUGGUGAAGUAUACAUUGAUUGAUAGAGUUAUCUUCCCUUGGCUGACCUCCGACAACUUUAUUAUUCUGGUGCUCUUACUUCAUUAUUAGAUGCAUGUGUCCCAUAGGAUAUGGUCACACCCCAAUAAGAGUUGCCAUGGCAAUGUGCAUGAAUUGUGAAAUCCAUUCAGGUGAAUUUGAAGACAAGAUGACGUUCCACUGACGCAGAAUUGGGAUGACGUUCCACUGACACAACCUUGAGCACAUGUUUUUCUGACACAACCUUGAGCACAAGUUCCCCUUAUGCAUCCUUAAGGUCAAGUUCCCCUGAAUUGUUAUAACUUAUUCAAAGAUUGAAAUAUUGUGACAUUAUGUUUUGUUUUAUGAAAUACUUCUUUAUCUAAUGGUUACAAACAGUUAUACGGUUGAUUGUUUUCAUAAUGCUAUUUAUAUGACUAAUUACAAAUUUGACAACUGUUAAGUUUUCUUCCCCUUAUGUUGUUGUAUUUGUUGAUUUUACAUGUUUGUUAGUUUCCUUUUCAUUCAGUGUCUUGAGGAUAUGCAUUAGUUAGUAAUAUAAGGGCUGUGUUUCUGUAAGAGAGUUAUGUCCCUUUGCCCAACAAGGAUCCCCGUUCCUGAUUCAUCCUGAUUAUGAACUGUGCUUUGUCAGCAUCUAUUCUAUUUGUGGCUGAAAAAUCAUCAAAAGCUCCAACAAUCUAGUAUUUGCAUGACAGAUUUAAUGUCAUUACAAACAUAUCUAUCAGUAUUAGGUCAUACUGUCACAGUAACUCCUAUAUCCCAUGGGCAAGAUGAAAUACUACUGAAAGAACUUUCUCUCUUCAGAGAGUACUCCACGAUCCAGAGAUCGAUAUUGUGAGCAACUAUGCGCACUUUUGAGGACACUGGCACUCAAUCAACCAUAUCAUUGAGCCCCACCACCCAAUCUGUUAAGUGAGUGGGGGGCGGUGGGGUAGUCUAGUGUUUAAAGAGUUGGCUCGUCACGCCGAAGACCCGGGUUCGAAUCCCCACAUGGGUACAAUGUGUGAAGCCCAUUUCUGGUGUCCC